GUGAUCAGAAAAAAUAGAGUGACAGGUGAUGGAUUUCUUGUUGACAACAUUUUCAUUGCAAAUUUCAAUGAAAGCAGAGUUGAGGUCCUUCCGGUGUUCCGAAGUGAGUCGGCACGCUGAUCAAGGAGAGGAAGAGUCCACCAGAUCGAGGCACGGGGGCCUUGUUGGUCAAAUUUUAGUUGCUGGUGCUACUGAUGGAUGCGGUUUAACAGCAGCAGUUCGACGGUGAUGGCGGAUGUGAUCUUAGGACAAGAUGCGAAGACCACCAGAACGGAGUCGAAGAUUUACCAGGGUGUACUAUUUUCAAAUGCAACACAUCCAGACGAUACGCAGAAAUGUGUGGUGGCAAAAAUAGUGUAUUUUUAUCAUAGAAAAUUUUCCGUUCAAAUAAAAUAUAUGUUAUAAUGUUU